AUCCAGACUAUGAGUCCUGAAUAGGACGAAAUGCACGUCCUGGAU
rnacentral:hammerhead_ribozyme from 1 species